GUGUUCUGACCUGUUAUUUUCUAGAAGAGUUUCUUUUGCUUUAAUUCCCUAUGUGGGGAAGUGGGUUAGGCCCACUUCUGCUCAUUCAGACCACCUGAAAGAUGUAAUUGAAUUUCCCAGCAUGUGAUAGCUGAAGUUGUAAUUACUUUCAGGACCAACGAGCACUGGAUCCUCUAUCUGUAGUGAGUGGCUGCUCACCAGCUGUGGCUAAUGACACCAUGCCUCCGUAAGGGCCCUUUGGACAUGUUGCAUAGAGGGAUGUUGGUUCUGCUGAACAGCAGCGUGGCUUCUUGUUGUCUUCAGAUGGCUGAUGGUGGUGAGGAGUUGUACCUGUUGCAGAUGCUGAGAAGGACAGAAGCAGUUUUGUGGACUGAGCCUUGCAGAUCUCUGCUAAAUAUUACUGGACUGCUCACUUCACCUCGAGAGGAACUGAGUCCCUUUUAGCACCAUCAUUACCUCAGCUCACCUUCAGGUUUCUGUAAGGGCAACUCUUCUCAUCUCUUCAAACAUGAAUGCACUCAUCCUUCUUCCUUAUCCACUUGUCUAGCACAUAUUUUCCAGUAAAAAGUGAGUAUUCUAAUCUUCUUUGACCUCACUGGUUCUUAUUCUCUUUUUCCUUUCUUAAAAGAACAAAAUCUCAUUUGUGGUAAGUUUCUAUGAAAGUCAUAAAUGACAGAAAUAUUCUAUGCCAUUAAAUUUUGAAAAAUUUCCACAGAUGAAAGCCUAACAAAUGCCCCUGUAAAGGUUAAGCGAUCUUCAAUCAGAUGAAGCACAGAAAGAGAUAAGAGAGUGUUUUAUAAGAUAUCUCAUUCAGCUACUCGCACUGGAGUGUCAGAGGCGGAUUAGAUUGCAUAGGAUACCAUAUGAUGCCACUGUUGGCAAGUUGUGUUUUUUUUUUCCAAAAGAGAAAAAAAAUAAGUUACACCUGACCAUGUACACAGCCUGAGUCAACAAUGUAGAAUUUAACUAAAUCAUGAUGACAAAGCAUGCAUGUAGAUGCUUGUAUUCAGGCAGUUUUUGGUAGGUGUUUGCUUACGUGGGCAUUACCUAUGAAAGGAUUGUAACAAUCCUUUGUAAAAGCAUUUCAAUGCCUAAUCUCAAUUAACAAAGAAAUAAUUUCAGUUUAAAUCAGUUAAAUGUAAAUCAGACCAUGGUGAGAAUGCACUGUAGGACAACUUGUUACAACAAGAAAUCCCGCUUCAGCAAUACAAUCGGUUAUAUCUGUCUUAAUAUAUUUAACCGUCAUUAAGAACUAUUACCCCAUUCGAAUCUGAAAGUGUUUUGCAUCAUACGUACUUUCGUAGAUCGAUACAUAUCUCCAGAUAUAUCAAAAAGGAUAUGAAUUGUACCUUCAUCAACUCUACAGACUGAAGAUUGCAGUUGGUCUUCUAGAUGCACCAGUUUCUCACUUAUUGCUUCACAUUUCUCUCCCAGCUCUGCAGAAAACAUGAAGAACUCCUACAGGAAGUGGACAAAGGAAUCAUGUUUAUUGCCAAUUGUACUUUUCUACCUAAUGAUUGCUAACUAAAGGAAAAAAUAAAAUAUUAGAGGGGUAUAUGAUGUUCUGAGGUGCUAAGAUACUGUUUGAAACCUAAUCCAAGUUAAGGAGAUAAAAUCUGUUACUAUACAGUAAUUUGUUGAUUUAUAUGGAUUGGAAAGAACUUGUGGCCUCAGUCUAUUUCCCAUCAGAAAGAAGUCAUGAUCUUACUUUCAGCACAGGAUUAAAGGAGUGUGAAAUCUGAAUGGCUCUCUCCUCCAUGUUGUCUCACCACAGCAGGAGAGGGAAAGCUCACGCUGACUACACCAUUUAGGUUCCUAAAUUUCAAGUUGUUUUUUUAAGUACAAUUUGCACAUUGAGGCCAUUUCAGCAUUUCACGAAGCAUAUUUUUGUUAUAUGAGCUGCCAAAAGCGAUACUUGCUUAGAAGCACUGCUCAACUGAUCAGAGGAAACACAUCAAAUUCUUAGGAAAUACAAGAUGAAACUACACUUUGUUACUACGUGUAACAAGUAUAAAUCCUGGAAAAUAAUGGUUGUUCACUUGCAACUUUAUAUAGACAAAUGCUUCUUCCAUUUUAAAUUAAAUUUUCUGAACCCAUUACAAAGGCAGUUCCUACAGAUUUGUUUGCUUUUGGAUGCACUGAGUAAAGAUAAUUUGUAUCUUUUAUAUUUUGUAUUGACAUCCUCUUCAAGAAAUGAUUCAGGCAAGUGUCAUAUUUGAGUGGAAAAACAUCAAAUCAUUUGUACAUCACUGAGACUAGUCUCUUCCUGCUCCCAACCAUCAAAAGGCAUCAUAGGACUGUCUGCAGUGAGGGAAAGAGGGCACCUGUGGGAAAAAGACUACGGCGUGAAGAUGAGCUUCUGGAAUUAUCAUGGAUCAUUCAUCAGCUGGAGUCCAGAUAACUGUAUUUUCUCUAGAUGUCAUGUAUGUACUCAUCUAUAAAGCCAGCUAUGCAUGUUGCCACCUACAAACCUCAGAAAGUUUUUGCUCCUUUGAAAAAGUAGUCAUUUGCAUCACUGGCUAUUUGAGAGAAAUCAAGCCUUCAAUCAGUGAAAUCAUGCUAGGAAUUGUUGGAAUAUUGCCGUUAUUCCAUAUAUAUAUUGCAGUGAAGCACUCUGAUUUUUCAUAAACACAGUUAACAGUCCUUGAUUUCAUGCUGCCCUUACAGUUUGUGUCACACACUGUGUACAUAGAGUCAAAUGUCAGAAAAGCUGUGCUUGCUGGUACAUCCUCUGUUACAGCACAGAGCUCUGACCUUUCUGUCUUCCUUUCUGUUUGCUUCCAGACACAGCUAUUGAGCACAGGAACACAAUAAGCUUCAGCUCAAAGCCUGGACAAGUGAGUUGGGGAGAGAAUUCUGCAUAUGCCCACAGCUUAGCUGCCCAAGUCCAUGGUUGGUGCAUGGGACCUCAGCAGCCACCUUCAGGCUCAUUAUCAGAUAUCAGAAUUUAUGACAUAAUUCAACAGUCUAUGGAAGUAAAAUCACUGCAUUGUUUUUAAAAUAAGAAUGGGAGAGAAGAUAUACAUCCUCACUACAUCAACAAGAAAUGUGUUUGUUUCAGGACUGGGGACAGAAGAUGAAGAACAGUCUUCCAUCCAGCUGCUAAAUUGUUAUUCAAUACACCAGCAGGACUCCAUAUGCUUUUAGGAAGUGGGAUAACCCAGGCAAUUUAUAUCAACAGAAAGCUUUUAGGGAAUCAUUCUAUGACACGCAUACAAGAACAGAUGACAGUUGUCUAAAAGGACCUAGGCCUCAUGCUAGAAAGAAAAGAUUCAGUAAAUUGUAAGUAAAACUACUGUGAAAAUACAUCUAAAAUGAUGACCAUUCUAGACAAAGCUCCACAUACUGAGCAGAGAUUUUUCCUUAGCAGUUACUCAUAAGAAAAAUCAGAUCUUCACAUAACUCUCAUCACAAACACACAAGAAAAACAAGACAAAAAAAACAUGUAGUGUUACAUCAUCAUUGGAAAGUUAAUUUAGGAAGCAAUGGCUUUUAAUUAAAGCAUAGACUCUUAGGGGUUGCUCUGACAGACAAAAAUCCAUGAAUGAAUUCAAAUCAGACUCUUUCUACAGAUUGUGAACUUCAUUGUGAGGCAAAAUGAAGUACUCCUGCACAGAUGCUGAGGAAAUGGUAUUUUACAGCAUCAUGUAAAAAGCAGAGUCCAGCUCAUGCAACAUCAAUGUACAGUGUACUUUCAUCUGAUCCAUUUACUGCUUUUAGCAAGGGGAUACUGUUGACAGUAGGACAGUUUGUCCAGAUAACCAGUCACUGAAUUAGUUCUGCCACAAGUUGUAUCUGUCCUAUCUCACAUGUAAAAAGCAUAGUAAAGCUGUAUCACGAGUACACAUUGAAUUGUCUAAAAAUGCAACAGAAAUCCUGUUUUCUUCAGAAACUAAGAUAAAUGAGAAAAUGAGUACUAGGAGAAACUACGUGCUCAAUGCAGAAUUGUUCAAACAACACAGAGAGGCAGGAAGUAAGUGACUAAGUAAAAAACCAAUUAAACUUGUUUAAUCACUGAACAUUUGAAGCCUACUUAAUCAUAACUGUAUGGCUAUGCCUCUUCUGCGGUAUAACUACAAUAACUCCAUAAUUUCGGUGCUACAUUCCACUAGUGCUAGAAUUCUGAUGUGAACUUUACAGCUUCAAUAUAGCAAUAACUGUGUACGGAUAAACUGUUUUUGCAUCUUUAGGACACUGAGUUGCCUUUUCGGCUGAAAUGAGCAGUUCCUUUGCAGUUAAGACAAAAGCAUUGUUUCUCAAGAAUAUAUUCACAGACAUCACGUGAAUCUCACAGGAGGGCUAUCCCACAGAUUGUGAUUUUACAAUAUAUACAAAUGUCCUAUUUUAUUUUGGCCUAUAUAUAUAAUCAUUUUUUGUUAUGGUUUUGUGGUACAGAUUAGCUCUAAUUUUAGUUUAGCAUCAAGAGCUCUACAUGAGAUGGCAAAAACAUAUUGCUC